AGCGGUCUAACCAAUUUACGAUUUUAUCCCAAGACACCUUUAAAUAUUAUUUACUAAAAGGCCGCUGCGUCUCCGGCAGUGGAUGCCGGUUUUCGUCGGGUGACAGCGUUCCCCUCUCCUGCGCCUGCCAUCCUAAAUCUUCCCUUCUUCUCUUCACUAGAAGAAUUAGGGUUUCUCCUCUCUGGAUCGGUCGCCCACAGCUUCUAAGGGUUCUUUCCGGCAUUUUCUUUCAGGCUCGGGUUAUUUUACUACAUCGAUGGCGAUUUGUUUGAGUGUGAGAUCUAAUAUCACCUUCUCCUGUUGAAUCCCUUUUAUUGAAGGGCUUUUUGUUGCGAAAGCUUCUCUCAUUUUGUUGCAACAGUGGGGAUCGUAGAUCUCAGUGAUUUUGUGGCAGACCAUAGCUUUUUUGCUAUUUGGAUUGAUGUUCUAUUCUAUGGGGAUGUGAAGGGAUUGGCAGGGAAAUCAUCUCAAGUUCUUCAUUUUUUCUCUCUCUUCUGGAAAGAUCAUUUUUUGAUCCGAAAGAUCGUUCUUGAUCAAAAAGAUUGUUUCUUAAUGGGAGAAUAAAGCCUUAUCUUUAUCAAGGAUUGGAAAGGAGAUGUACUGCCUGUACAUGUGUCUAUGGUUUCUAUCGUUCUAGCAUACUAUUAGGCCUGUUUUUAAUUUAGACCAUUUUAGGCGAGAAGGAAGUCCUAUUUCGGUGAGAAGAUGCUAGUGCAUUAUUUUUUUUUUUGCUAUAUCUAUUAGUGCUAUUGUUGUCAAACAUCACACAGCUUAGCACAUUCUAAUUUAAGGACGAUUGUAUAAGAGGUUUUUUAGAUUACCAUACCUCAAAUGCCACCAAUCCAUUGAAAUUGAUUUCGCCUUCCAAGUAGUCUGGGAAGAAAUAUACGAAGAUUACUUAGAGGGCACGAUCCUAGCGUCUAAGGUGUUGAGAUAACAAUAUUAUUGGUCUACAUUAUAGAAAGGCACUAUUUAGAUUAUGAAGGUGAGGCUAGUGCCAAAGGCAUGUCAAUAUUCAGCACCAUUCAACUGUAAAAUUAACUCUAAUCAACAUCUUAUUGCUGUUCGUUCAGUAGGAAAUAAACAUUCUUAGUCUCUUUCACAAGGCACUAGAUAAAGAAAAUUUCUUAUUAUCCUCGUCAACUACUUUAUAAAAUGAGUGAGUUGAGACGAAAUUUUUAGUUUGGAUUAUCGAGAAAAAUGCAUAGGGUUUUAUUUAAAAAUCCAUCAUUUGUCUAUUCAGGAAUUCUUCAAGUUCUUAUCACCAACAAUGGUGGAUAAUUUGAUAAUGUUCGAUUUCAAGAAUUCUGUUCCAAACUUGUCAUCAACUAUCGAAUCAUCUCAAUUAGUCACCUCUAAAUCAAUAGAGAAAUUGAGGUAACUAACUACACUAUUUUGUGGGGCUUGAAGGUCAGGCUUAAUCGGGUUGAGGGCUCAAGUUAGAUGAGUUGCCCAAUGUUCCAUGGGCCGGCAUAGCUCCUGUCGAGAAGCUCCGUGCUGAUUAGCAUAUAUUGAACGAAACCAAAAAAUGAGCUUAGCUCAAGAUGGCCGCUAAUUAAUAGUAACAAUUUCCUGAUCAAGGCAAAACUCUUCCGACAAAAAGAUCUCAUCCUUUGAAAAGCCGAAAUAGUCAGACAAGGCAACCACGAGAAGUUUUUGCCCAAGUGGAAAGGAUGAUAUAAGGAAGUCAUCCGAUCCAACAUAUAUCGAUUCAGUAUCUCAUGCAUGGAAUGCUAAUAACCUCCGAGUGUACCAUUAGUAAGAGUUGUAAUUUUAAAUACUUUUUUGCUAAUAAUGAAUGCAGAUUGUCUUUGUGCUCCAAAAUAGCUGAGUAAUGCAGGUAGGAUAUAUCAACCAUCGACCAAAAAUUUCUCAAAAGUGACAGAUCAAGCGAGCUUGCUAAAGUCUCUGAUCAAGAUUCUCCAUAGGCCAAGCUAAAACUCAAAGCACCGAAUUAUGGACAAAAUGUCAGAUGAGUCUCCCAAAAGACCAUGGAUGGCACCACAUUCAAGCAUUACAGAGUGGGACAAGUCUCCCAAGAGACCACCAGCUUGUUAUUCUCAUGGGCCUGGCUGAGGUGUUGAACAACUGAAUCACAAAUGAAAUAUCAGAUAAAUCUCUUAAGAGA